GAUGAACGCUGGCGGCGUGCCUAAUACAUGCAAGUCGAGCGAACAGACGAGGAGCUUGCUCCUCUGACGUUAGCGGCGGACGGGUGAGUAACACGUGGAUAACCUACCUAUAAGACUGGGAUAACUUCGGGAAACCGGAGCUAAUACCGGAUAAUAUAUUGAACCGCAUGGUUCAAUAGUGAAAGACGGUUUUGCUGUCACUUAUAGAUGGAUCCGCGCCGCAUUAGCUAGUUGGUAAGGUAACGGCUUACCAAGGCGACGAUGCGUAGCCGACCUGAGAGGGGGAUCGCCCAAACGGGAACUGAGCAGCGGUCCAGACCCCUACGGGAGGCAGCAGUGGGGAAUCUGCCGCAAUGGGCGAAACCCGGACGGGGCACCGCGGGGGGGGUGAAGAAGUUUUUCGGUUCGUAAACCCUUUUUAUUGGGGAAAAAAAAAUGUGUAAGAAACUAUGCAGUUCUUGACGGUACCAAAUAAGAAAGCCACGGCUAACUACGG
rnacentral:rRNA from 1 species